AUUCUUUUAUUGCAACUAUGUGAACUUUAAUAUACCUAGCAUAUUAUAGAGAUAUAAAGUUUACUGUCAGUAGUGCUAUAUAUUAAUCCUUUAGUUAAUAUAAAAAGGCAAAUUGAUGAAUAAAAAUGACACGUAUUAUAAUCUCAAAGAUCGCAUAUAAUCUUUCAAUUCUCUCAGGAAUUAUUUAUUGUAUCAGGUGGAAUUUCAUGCUGAAGAUUCACUUUUUCAUCCAGUAAGUUACCUGUCAUGUGUUUACUUUUUGAAGCCCUCAGUUAAACUUUUUAUUGUUGUUUAUUUUUCUUUCAAAAGUGACUUACAAAACCUGUACACUGAUUGUAUAUUAUAUGUAUAUUUCGUGUAUACAAUAUGUAUAUUUUUAUACUUAAUAUACAAAAGCUAAACAUUUUGUUGGCUAAUAUUCCUUUGAGCGGUACGAAAAUGUAAUCAUCUCAAUUUAUUGGGGCAUGAUUCUCCAUAUUGGUGAAAAAAGUUGUAAUCUUUGCUGGUUUGACUAGCAAUUUUAGCCUUUUCUGAGUACUUUAGUCAUUAAUGGUGAAAAAAAGUUGUAAGCUUUGCAUCUGGGUGUAACUGUACUUGUUUGUAAUUAAGGGGUUGAGGAAACUAUUUUUCUGUGUAGAUUACCCUUUUCUAAGUACUUUAAUCCUUAAUGGUGAAAAAAGUCUUAACCUUUGCAUGUGGGGUUAACUAUUUUUCUUUGUCUAUUAUCUUUCUCUGAGGAAAUUGGGUUUUGUUAGAGCAUUGUUGUUUGAGUACUUUAGUCCUUAAUUGGUGAAAAAGUUUUAAUCUUUGCAGCUGGGAUUUACUAUUUUUCUUUGUAGAUUACCUUUCUCUGAGCAAAUUGGGUUUUGUUAGAGCAUUGUUGUUUGAGUACUUUAGUCCUUAAAUGUGAAAAAACGCUCUAGUCCUCAUUGGUGAAAAAAAGUCUUAAUCUUUGCAUCUGGAGUUAAAUACGCUUGUUUGUAAUUAAAGGGUUGAGGAAAGUUUUAAUCUUUGCAUCUGGGGUUAACUGUAUUUGUUUUGUAAUUAAGGGGUUGAAGAAAUGGUACUUUUAGCAGAGCACUGUUGCCUGAGUACUUUAGUUCAUACUGGUGAAAAAAAGUUCAAAUCUUUGCAUCUGGGGUUAACUGUAUAGAGGAAGUACUAGUGGGGUUUUAAGCUUAUCCAUGGCUUGAGGAAAUUAGGCUUAAGAGAAUGUUUGUUUGUGAUGAGUCGUUGAAGUUGGUUGCUAAUUUGUUUGUGAUGAGUCACUGGAGUUGGUUGCUAAGGCUUUUAAAAAUUUUAAAGUCUUGGGUUUAUGGUCUUGUGAAGGUUUUACUACUGAUGGACUUGCUGCUAUUGCUGCUAACUACAGGUUUGAAUAGCAUUUUAAGCUGUACUUUUCUUUGAAAAUUACCCUUUUCUGAGUACUUUAGUCUUUACUGGUGAAAAAAAGUUAUAAUU